UGGAUGAAAGACCCUAGCUAACA
rnacentral:piRNA from 1 species